rnacentral:tRNA from 1 species
GCGGACGUGGCGAAACUGGUAGACGCACCAGACUUAAAAUCUGUUUUCCCCCGGGAAGUGCGGGUUCGAGUCCCGCCGUCCGCACCA